UCCACUCUGAGAGGUACGUUCUCGAUACCUACUCUUUAUCUCUUGUUUUUAAACUUACCUAUCGAAUAUGAUAAUUAUGAAAGUGGACAAUUAAAUUGUUUGUGAUUAUUUUAUCGCGAUGAAAAUGAAUGUAGCAUCAAUCAGGCCAUUGAAUGAAUAACUUACCUAUCUAAUGCAGAUCAUAAUAGGAUGAGACAUCUACACUCAUAUGGUAUGAAAAACAGAAUUUCUCGCACCAAACAUUCAAUAACAAUUAACCUAUUGGCCAUCAAUUUUGACGUAUAAAUUCACAUUGUUCUUAGCAAACGGAUCAAUAUUUGAAAACUAACUAUGAUUACUCGUAUCAUACACAUACGUACACCCCACAAUAUCGAACUAGUGAUGGUAUUUAUUUCGAUAAUUUUCCUCGUAAUUUAUUUAAUCAUAAGUACAAAUCGACAAUACCUGAAAAAUUUACCAAACAGAACGAUGUAUUCGUAUUCGAUAUCAUUACUAAUGUCAUACAUCGGAUACAUAAGUUUACGUCUUAUUAGUCGUGAAAUGAUCCACGAACAUUUCAAACCAAUAUUUUACUUAGGUAAUUACGGCAUAGAAAUUAAAUAUUAUUGGACCUUUA